rnacentral:miRNA from 1 species
GACACAACUGAGUGACUACUCCUUUCAUAUAUAUAUAUGUGUGUGUGUGUGUGUGUGUGUGUGUGUGUGUGUUUUACUCAUUACUCACAUACACAUACACACAAAUACACACACACAUAUAUAC